rnacentral:lncRNA from 1 species
CAGGGACAGAUGAACAAGUCUUUUUCUGAGAUCAGCAAACAACUCUCCUCUCCUCCUUCCUAAACCACCCCCUUCCCGCUCACCCCCCCCAACCCCCGCCCAUGCUACGCUGUGGAGAAGGAGGAAGUUUUGAGUAGGCAUCCAAAGUCAACAGGAGUCUCAAGGGGAGAAACACGAAACCUCAUGAAACUCUAUGCAGGAAAACACCUGACCAGAAGACAAGGUUAUUGUCAGGUCCAGAGGAAACCCCACUUCCCCAAAUUCCAAAAGGCAGCACCCAGAAAUGACCGUCUUGACUCAGGGUCUGCUGAAGUAUAGGAUUACUGAAGGAUACUGCCAGCGUUCCUGAGGAACCCAUGAAAGAGUUUCUGUCCACCAGAAAGAGUCAAUAUUCUAGUCUAGAAGAUCAGAGACCGAAGCUGGCAUCCUGUGUUGCUGGAUUGAGGAACUAGUACUGAAUUUUGCACCUCAGCUCUACCACAACCCAGUCCCAUCUGAACAUGGCAAAUACUUCAUCCAAAAGAAUACUGUCGAUAAAAAAAAAAUCUAAGCAAUGACAUAACCCCAGAUAUAUAAAUCCCAGCAUAAGAAUCAUGGAAAACCAAGGCUAUGUUAAAUCUUGUAAAAAUUACUAAUCCUACAGCAUUCUCCCCAAUCUUAAUAAGUUAGAUUAUAUGCUAAUAAAGUCUUCAAAGAAUUCAAUCCCA